rnacentral:rRNA from 1 species
AGCGGCGGACGGGUGAGUAACACGUGGGUAACCUGCCCAAGAGACUGGGAUAACACCUGGAAACAGAUGCUAAUACCGGAUAACAACACCAGACGCAUGUCUAGAGUUUGAAAGAUGGUUCUGCUAUCACUCUUGGAUGGACCUGCGGCGCAUUAGCUAGUUGGUAAGGUAACGGCUUACCAAGGCAAUGAUGCAUAGCCGAGUUGAGAGACUGAUCGGCCACAUUGGGACUGAGACACGGCCCAAACUCCUACGGGAGGCAGCAGUAGGGAAUCUUCCACAAUGGACGAAAGUCUGAUGGAGCAACGCCGCGUGAGUGAAGAAGGGUUUCGGCUCGUAAAGCUCUGUUGGUAGUGAAGAAAGAUAGAGGUAGUAACUGGCCUUUAUUUGACGGUAAUUACUUAGAAAGUCACGGCUAACUACGUGCCAGCAGCCGCGGUAAUACGUAGGUGGCAAGCGUUGUCCGGAUUUAUUGGGCGUAAAGCGAGUGCAGGCGGUUCAAUAAGUCUGAUGUGAAAGCCUUCGGCUCAACCGGAGAAUUGCAUCAGAAACUGUUGAACUUGAGUGCAGAAGAGGAGAGUGGAACUCCAUGUGUAGCGGUGGAAUGCGUAGAUAUAUGGAAGAACACCAGUGGCGAAGGCGGCUCUCUGGUCUGCAACUGACGCUGAGGCUCGAAAGCAUGGGCAGCGAACAGGAUUAGAUACCCUGGUAGUCCAUGCCGUAAACGAUGAGUGCUAAGUGU